rnacentral:rRNA from 1 species
UGCGUAGACGGUUAUUUAAGUCGGGUGUGAAAGCCCCGGGCUCAACCUGGGAAUUGCAUUCGAGACUGAAUAGCUAGGGUACGGUAGAGGGAAGCGGAAUUUCCGGUGUAGCGGUGAAAUGCGUAGAUAUCGGAAGGAACAUCAGUGGCGAAAGCGGCUUCCUGGACCAGUACCGACGUUCAGGCACGAAAGCGUGGGGAGCAAACA